rnacentral:rRNA from 1 species
GAUGAACGCUGACCGAAUGCUUAACACAUGCAAGUCAUUGGCGAAGCUGCGCUUGCGCAGUCUAGCCAAGGCGGACGGGUGAGUAACGCGUAAGGAACUUGCCCUGCAGACAGGGAUAACAGACGGAAACGACUGAUAACACCUGGUAUUGUCAGGCUGGCGCAUGCCGGCCUGAUGAAAGGAGACGCUGCAGGAGAGCCUUGCGUCCUAUUAGCUAGUUGGUGGGGUAACGGCCCACCAAGGCGAUGAUAGGUAGCCGGCCUGAGAGGGUGAACGGCCACAAGGGGACUGAGAUACGGCCCUUACUCCUACGGGAGGCAGCAGGGGGGAAUAUUGGACAAUGGGGGCAACCCUGAUCCAGCAAUUCUGUGUGCACGAAGAAGGUUUUCGGAUUGUAAAGUGCUUUCAGCAGGGAAGAAGAAAGUGACGGUACCUGCAGAAGAAGCGACGGCUAAAUACGUG